GUGAAAGUGUUGCCAUUCCUUUUCAUGUGAAGCUGCUCUUAUUAUUAUUAUUAGAUUACUGAUGAGUUUUUGCAAUGUAUCACUUUUGUAUGGCUCAAGGCUAAAGAGGUUUUUCAAUAGAGCGAGUGCUACCCCGACUUUGCCAAACAAUGGUAAAAUAUAUCAAUUUAAUCAAGAGACAUCUUCCUCAUAUCAUUUAUUAUCAUCUACUUAAGAAGGGGUAAUUACGAGAGUUUCUGAGAGUUCUGAGAUAAGGCUUGACUGGAUGCUGUGUAUACUUUCUGAGUUAUCAUUGCAUAGAAUUAACUUCUCACUUCAAAAAGAAUUAUAGCAGACACCUU
rnacentral:lncRNA from 1 species